AACACUGUUAACCUGCGGUACCUGCGGAGGGAUCAUUACCGAGUUUACAACUCCCAAACCCCUGUGAACAUACCUAUACGUUGCCUCGGCGGAUCAGCCCGCGCCCUGUAAAAAGGGACGGCCCGCCCGAGGACCCUAAACUCUGUUUUUAGUGGAACUUCUGAGUAAAACAAACAAAUAAAUCAAAACUUUCAACAAUGGAUCU
rnacentral:misc_RNA from 1 species